rnacentral:rRNA from 1 species
AUUCCUACGGGGGGCAGCAGUGGGGAAUAUUGCACAAUGGGGGAAACCCUGAUGCAGCAACGCCGCGUGAGUGAAGAAGUAUUUCGGUAUGUAAAGCUCUAUCAGCAGGGAAGAAGAAAGACGGUACCUGACUAAGAAGCCGCGGCUAACUACGUGCCAGCAGCCGCGGUAAUACGUAGGGGGCAAGCGUUAUCCGGAUUUACUGGGUGUAAAGGGAGCGUAGACGGCUGUGCAAGUCUGAAGUGAAAGGCAGGGGCUUAACUCCUGAACUGCUUUGGAAACUGCCAUGCUAGAGUGCUGGAGAG